AAGACUAUAGACCUGCGGAGUACCUGCGGAGGGAUCAUUAUCGUACAACAGAGGCACCCGGGGCUGUCGCUGGCCUUAACAGGUUGUGCACGCCCAAAGUGCUCUCAAAUCCAUCUCACCCCUUUGUGCAUCACCGCGUGGGGCCCCUGUUCGGGGGUCUUGCGUUUUUACAACAUACGCCACAUGUAUAGAAUGUCUUUGCGAUCACACGCAAUUAAUAUAACUUUUAACAAUGGAUCU
rnacentral:misc_RNA from 1 species